rnacentral:rRNA from 1 species
AGAACGAACGCUGGCGGCGCGCUUAACACAUGCAAGUCGAACGCACCACUUUCGGGUGGUGAGUGGCGCACGGGUGAGUAACGCGUGGGAACCUACCUCGGGGUUCGGGACAACGGCGGGAAACUGCCGCUAACACCGGAUACGUCCGUAAGGAGAAAGAUUUAUCGCUGAGGGAUCGGCCCGCGUCUGAUUAGCUAGUUGGUGAGGUAACGGCUCACCAAGGCGACGAUCAGUAGCUGGUCUGAGAGGAUGAUCAGCCUCACUGGGACUGAGACACGGCCCAGACUCCUACGGGAGGCAGCAGUGGGGAAUAUUGGACAAUGGGCGCAAGCCUGAUCCAGCCAUGCCGCGUGGGUGAUGAAGGCCCUAGGGUUGUAAAGCCCUUUCGGCGGGGAAGAUAAUGACGGUACCCGCAGAAGAAGCCCCGGCUAACUUCGCGCCAGCAGCCGC